GAUGAACGCUAGCGGCAGGCCUAACACAUGCAAGUCGAGGGGUAGCAGGAUUAAGCUUGCUUAAUUGCCGACGACCGGCGCACGGGUGCGUAACGCGUAUGCAACCUACCUACAUCAGGGGGAUAGCCCUAGGAAACUGGGAUUAACACCGCAUAAUAUAAGCUACGGCAUCGUAGGUUAUUGAAAUAUUUAUAGGAUGUAGAUGGGCAUGCGUAGGAUUAGCUAGUUGGUAAGGUAACGGCUUACCAAGGCUACGAUCCUUAGGGGCUCUGAGAGGAGUAUCCCCCACACUGGCACUGAGAUACGGGCCAGACUCCUACGGGAGGCAGCAGUAGGGAAUAUUGGGCAAUGGAGGCAACUCUGACCCAACCAUGCCGCGUGCAGGAAGACGGUCCUCUGGAUUGUAAACUGCUUUUGAAUGGGAAGAAUGUGCUUCUUGCGAGGAGUAAUGACGGAACCAUUAGAAUAAGCCACGGCUAACUACGUGCCAGCAGCCGCAGUAA
rnacentral:rRNA from 1 species